ACGCUGGCGGCGUGCCUAAUACAUGCAAGUAGAACGCUGAAGGAGGAGCUUGCUUCUCUGGAUGAGUUGCGAACGGGUGAGUAACGCGUAGGUACCUGCCUGGUAGCGGGGGAUAACUAUUGGAAACGAUAGCUAAUACCGCAUAAUAGUAGAUGUUGCAUGACAUUUGCUUAAAAGGUGCAAUUGCAUCACUACCAGAUGGACCUGCGUUGUAUUAGCUAGUUGGUGGGGUAACGGCUCACCAAGGCGACGAUACAUAGCCGACCUGAGAGGGUGAUCGGCCACACUGGGACUGAGACACGGCCCAGACUCUUACGGGAGGCAGCAGUAGGGAAUCUUCGGCAAUGGACGGAAGUCUGACCGAGCAACGCCGCGUGAGUGAAGAAGGUUUUCGGAUCGUAAAGCUCUGUUGUAAGAGAAGAACGAGUGUGAGAGUGGAAAGUUCACACUGUGACGGUAUCUUACCAGAAAGGGACGGCUAACUACGUGCCAGCAGCCGCGGUAAUACGUAGGUCCCGAGCGUUGUCCGGAUUUAUUGGGCGUAAAGCGAGCGCAGGCGGUUAGAUAAGUCUGAAGUUAAAGGCUGUGGCUUAACCAUAGUACGCUUUGGAAACUGUUUAACUUGAGUGCAAGAGGGGAGAGUGGAAUUCCAUGUGUAGCGGUGAAAUGCGUAGAUAUAUGGAGGAACACCGGUGGCGAAAGCGGCUCUCUGGCUUGCAACUGACGCUGAGGCUCGAAAGCGUGGGGAGCAAACAGGAUUAGAUACCCUGGUAGUCCACGCCGUAAACGAUGAGUGCUAGGUGUAGACCCUUUCCGGGGUUUAGUGCCGUAGCUAACGCAUUAAGCACUCCGCCUGGGGAGUACGACCGCAAGGUUGAAACUCAAAGGAAUUGACGGGGGCCCGCACAAGCGG
rnacentral:rRNA from 1 species